CAAAACUGAAAAAAAAUAUUUCAGCAGAUGUCGCACAAGUGCCAAAUACAGAGCAAACAACUCCACUCCUUCUGCUAAUAAAGCACAGACACUAAGAGCCAUCCCAUUCACCAACUGCCACACAGAAAGUCAUGCCCACAGCAAACAGAAUCUACACUGGAGUUUCAGAACUGAAAACUUGCCUGGUCAUCAUAUUAGAUAUUUCUUCCAGUUCUGAGACAACGGACACAGAGAGAAACAACAAAAAAACCUUUUUACAAGUGAGCCUGG